UCACGUUGAAACACCAGUUCCAGUACGAUGACCAAAGUUAAGCAACAUCGAGCCUGGUCAGUACGUAGAUGAGUGACCGCUUGUGAAUACCAGGUGCUGUAAG